GAUUUUUGGCCUUUAGAGGAAAAAGCACAUAUUUAAACCUCUAGUUGGCUAGUUGCUUAUGGAAAUUGCUUUUUAUGCUUAAAUACUAAGUGCAGAUACUUCUGCGCUAAGUCUUGAAUAGAUUGAGUUUUGACUUUAGUGGAGACAUUAUUAUCAUUAGGAUGUUGUAUCUGUAUUCAUAUAAGUUUUAAGUACUGUGAGAGCUAGCAUCGCACUUCAUCCCACUGUAUAGCAUUACAUAUCGCUCGAAAUAUGAUUAUCAAGCACUUAGUCUAUAUAAAAACUCAAUAAACAUAUUAUAACGAAUUUAACUUUCCAUGUUGCUGCUUAGCUAACUCCAUCUGUCGGUAAUUGAUAAUUGAAGCUCAAAGGGUCAUUCAAAACACGAAGUAUCCCAAAUUUGUCAGUUCUGGAGAGAGUUAAUAUACACUACCUCUCCGGUGGAGGAGAUUUACCGUUGCGUUAAACUUACCCUUUUCAUUCGGAACUUAAUACAAAAACGGGGUAAUAUAUAUAGUAGAGGAAUAAUGCCAAGUCAAUGAUUCAGAAAAAAAAAAAAAAAAAAAAAAAGAAAGAAAGAAAUAAAGAAAGAAAGAAAGAGGAAAGGGAAGGAGCAAUUAGAUGAUUUAGAACCCCACAAGAAAGCUUGAAUGGACACAGCAUAUUUAUAUAUGCUUGUGAAAUAACUGUUCUUGCUUUAAGAUCAAAAUAUAUUGCUUUGAUUAGAAGCUAUAAAGCUUACCAAAUUGUGAGGAAAGUGCAUUUGGGAUCUCUCUUUAGUUAAUAUCUUCUUGUUUAGAGCAAAGAGUCUUGUUCUUUUCCUCUUCUUUCUUUAGUUUUCUAUUGGUUCUUUCUUUG
rnacentral:lncRNA from 1 species